rnacentral:rRNA from 1 species
CAAUAGCGUAUAUUAAAGUUGUUGCGGUUAAAAAGUUCGUAGUUGGAUUUCUGCCAAGGACGACCGGCCCACCCUCUGGGUGAGUAUCUGGCUCGGCCUGGGCAUCUUCUUGGAGAACGUAGCUGCACUUGACUGUGUGGUGCGGUAUCCAGGACUUUUACUUUGAGGAAAUUAGAGUGUUUCAAGCAGGCUUACGCCUUGAAUACAUUAGCAUGGAAUAAUAAGAUAGGACCUCGGUUCUAUUUUGUUGGUUUCUAGAGCUGAGGUAAUGAUUAAUAGGGAUAGUUGGGGGCAUUCGUAUUUAACUGUCAGAGGUGAAAUUCUUGGAUUUGUUAAAGACGGACUACUGCGAANGNAUUUGCNAAGGAUGUUUNCAUUG